UACGAAGGGGGCUAGCGUUGCUCGGAAUCACUGGGCGUAAAGGGCGCGUAGGCGGCGCGGUAAGUCACUUGUGAAAUCUCUGAGCUUAACUCAGAACGGCCAAGUGAUACUGCAGUGCUAGAGUGUGGAAGGGGCAAUCGGAAUUCUUGGUGUAGCGGUGAAAUGCGUAGAUAUCAAGAGGAACACCUGAGGUGAAGACGGGUUGCUGGGCCAACACUGACGCUGAGGCGCGAAAGCCAGGGGAGCAAACGGG
rnacentral:rRNA from 1 species